GGGAAAGCAUUCCGUGGGGUUGCUUUUCCGUCUCAUUCCAAGAGCUCACAGGUUUUCCUGUAGUUUUGAUCUCUGGUGAGGUGGCAGGGGGAGAUAUUUCCCUCUGCAAAUUGGGCUUCCGCUCCCUUCCCCAAGGCUUUAGAGAGAAACUUCCUAUUGCUAUGACAUUAUUUUCAUGAAACGCAGGGGAAGACUUGUCUGACACUACAAAUAAUCAGGAGUAAUUAAAACUAAUGUGAUCCUGCCAAAGCGCUGGAAAACUCCCUCCCCCUUUCUCCUCCUGAUGCCCCAGCCUUGACCCCUCUUCCUGUAUUUGUUUACCAACUUGCGAAGGAUUUAACAGCGUGGGGUCUCCACCGUCAGCAGGAUUGAAAGUUUUGCUGUUGCUUUGAAAGAAAAAAAAAAAAAGCCUUUAAUGAGGACUCGGAGCCUGGCACAACUUCCUCAGACAUAGCAAAACUCAGAGCACAGCCGAUGCUUUCCAAGCGCUCAGGGAAGAUGCACCAGAAGUUGUCUGUGUCUGAAGACACGACUGAGAAUGGAAAUGGAGUUACGCUGUGCACCAGGGCGUAUUUUGGCAUCGAUGCUUUCCUCGAUCUCAGCUGGAGCUGCAAAGGGAUGGGCACACGCCUGUCAGGGAGUGCAGAGGCUACGCCCCAUGUUGGUUAUUUGGCUCAGGAGUUCUUGUUUGCUGUAGAACAACCCACCGGAGGUGGUCAGGUGCCCUGGGAGGGAUGGCUCUCUUAAAAAAUUGUCAGGGAAGGCAAGUGAGUGUCAUCCAUCCUGCCUGCCAUCCCUCCCAGGCCAAAGUGUGUGCUCCAGCCCGCGGCGGUGCCAGGCAGGGCUCCCAUCUAUGCACUCACUCCCUGAUAAGAUCUCACCAACCCCUGGGCGCAGACACUUGUCUCUGCCUGACUCCCAGCCCUUCCCCUGGAUGGAUUCGUGCAGCCCCUGCCCCACGGGGACAUUUCAGCCUGCAGCAGAGGCACCCCAGGGCUCACCCACAUUGCUGGGCUCUCUGCCUCUGCUUUGGUUUAGGAUCUGGGUCCCUGCUAGGUUCAUGAAAUCUCAAAAUAGUGGGAAGAGGCCCCUGGGGGUCACUGCUCCAACCCCUGCUCAGGCAGGGCCACCCAGAGCAGGGUGCCCAGGACCACGUCCAGAUUUGAAGAUCUCCGAGGAGGAGACCCCACAACCUCUCUGGGCAGCCUCACCUGCACAGCACAGAAGAGCUUCCUGAUGGUCAGAUGGAAAUUCAAACCCAGGCUGACCUUGAACUCCUUUAACCCCAGCAGCAAACUCAUCCUGGGCUGGACCUGGACCUCCCUUCCUGGGCUCGGACUGGAAACCAUGGUCCCAGCAGGAAAAAUAAACCACAAAUAAUAAAUAAAUCUGGCUGAGAAAACAGCCAAGGACAGAGCGAGGGAGGAAACAAAGCUGAUCAGGCCUCAGGGUGGGGGUAAAAGGUGUCUUUGGGGGUGUUUGACAGGGCAGGAGAUGUUCCUGCCCACCAGAUCGUGCAGGUGGGGACCGAGCCCUGCUCUUUCCCCUACCACCAUCCCCACACCAUGGGCACCAGCAGCCCACGGGUUUGAGGGGACUGCAGGCGAAGCACACUGCUGACACAAGAGGGAAUUUCCGCCUGAAUUCCUCCCAGCUGAGAUUUGGCCCCGGGACCUUGCAGUAAACACGCUGCGGUGUCUGUGAGGGGAGGGAGGGUGAGAGCCGCUGCUGGGGCUGCUGGCACCCACUGCUCCAUCACGGGGUCACCUGCUCCCCAAAACCUGCAGGCGGUGAGCCAGCAGCCUCCUGAAACACAGCACGGGUGGGAGAGUUCGGGAACACGUCUCGCAGCCGUCCCACCCGUGGCCAGGUCACCGCUUGGGCAUGGCCACAGAAGAAUGACUCCGUGUUCUCCCGACGCUCCUGCGAGCGCACGUGUUGAGCCAGACUCCACGUGAGCAGCACCAGCGCGAGACGAGGGGCUGCAGGUCAGGGCUCCAGCUGCUCCUCAUCCUCCUCCAGGAGCUUCGUGUGCCCGCAGGCAGCUCGGGCAAAGACUGGAAAAAGACUGGAGGCAGGGGGGGCUCGGUUAUGUCCCCUGGGGUGACAGGGAUGCCGCAGCUCCCCGCCGCCCCCCCCGGACCGCCGCCAGCCCCGCCUGGCUUUUGUGCCGUUGGCUGUUGCUCUGAACCGCUCAGCCUUCAAUUUCCCGUCGUAAAUCAGUUUGCUGCUCUGGAAACUUGCUGAACGGCGGAUUUUACCCAAAUCCACGGCGGCAGCGGUUUGCUGCGAGAGUGACAACGGAAUUUUACAGCGUCACUGCUGUCACUUACCGCCCCGGGCGGUGUUUGGAAAACAAGCCGGGAGCGAUGCCUGGGGCAUGUGUGCUCUGAGCCGUUUGCUGGAACCCCUCUGCCUGUUAUUUUGGGCAAACAGCCUCCUGCUGCGCUGUGCCACCAGUCCCAGGGGCAUCUACAUCCCUCCUUUGCUCUCUGUACAUACAUGAAAAGACACAAGAGGUCCCAAAUCUGCAAGGCACCGAGCUCUGCAUGCAAGUACCGGGGAGAUUGAUGCUAUUUGCACCCCAUGCUGG